rnacentral:rRNA from 1 species
UACAGAGGUCCCAAGCGUUGUUCGGAUUCAUUGGGCGUAAAGGGUGCGUAGGUGGCAUGGUAAGUCGGGUGUGAAAUCCCGGGGCCCAACCCCGGAACUGCACUCGAUACUGCCGUGCUCGAGUACUGGAGAGGAGACUGGAAUUUACGGUGUAGCAGUGAAAUGCGUAGAUAUCGUAAGGAAGACCGGUGGCGAAGGCUAGUCUCUGAACAGUUACUGACACUGAGGCACGAAGGCCAGGGGAGCAAACGGG